rnacentral:rRNA from 1 species
AUGAGACGUAUUACUUACCGUGGCUGCCUGCCAGGUAACUUGUUGCGGCUCGGGGCGAAGUCCCGGUCUACCGCGAAUGCAUCACGUCGCCACUAUAAAACGCGCACCUUGACCCCGUCGGAAACCCAUCGUUCCGCCGCCGCGACCGCGAUGGCGUACCGCCGGAAGCCGCAGUCCUCCUUCGAGCACCACCACCACCACCCGCAGCCCGCUAGCCCUCCCUCCCCGCCGCAGGACUCCCUCGCCGCGCAGGCCAUGCGCGCCUCCGCCGCCCACCGAGACGCCUCUUCUCUCUCCUCCGCCUACUCCUCCUCGGCUGCCUCCGCGGCCGCCGCCGCUCGCAGGAGCCACGAGCCCUCCGUCUCCACCCCUUCCCCUGACUCUUCCAGCUAUGGGUACACGUCCAUGAAGAGCUUGAACGAGGCCAAGUACGGAUUUUGGGGGACGCUUGCUCGGAAAGCAAAGUCACUUAUUGACGAGGAUGGGUCGCCGGGGCAAUAUGAUUCUCCGACGAGACAGCAGCCGCCAAGAGAUGGUACAUCACCAGCUAUCCAUAGACAACACUUGCAACAGCCAGCGCCAGAGACAUGGAAAUCCGAGACACCUCCAUCUCAGAAGAGGUCCGAGGCAUUAGCUUCCUCCCUUAACUAUAUUGGAGGCACAAUAAAGAGUGCCCUCGAAGAAGGUCGGACUAUUGUAGAGACUAAAACAGCUGACAUUAUUCAGGAGACGCGUAAACUGAAUAUAAGGCGGAAAGGAGCUGGAUCAAAUCCACAAGGAGAAACUUCUCACAAAUUUGCUCACAGAAAUUUUCCUCAAAAUCCACUCGAUUACGAAACUCAGUUGAAGGCAUCUCGCGACGUUGCAAAUGCCAUGUCAGCAAAAGCAAAGCUGCUAUUACGUGAACUGAAGACUGUGAAGGCAGAUUUAGCUUUUGCGAAGGAGCGCUGUGCUCAGCUUGAGGACGAGAAUAAAAUGUUGCGAGAAAAUCAAGAUAAUGGUGAUAACCCAGAAGAUGAUGAUCUGAUCCGCCUACAAUUAGAGACACUAUUAGCUGAGAAGGCGCGGCUUGCACAUGAAAACUCGGUGUAUGCUCGAGAAAAUAGGUUCCUACGUGAAAUUGUAGAGUAUCACCAACUUACUAUGCAGGAUGUCAUAUAUGUGGAUGAAGGCAUCGAAGAAGUCACUGAGGUGUACCCUACUCAAGUACUACCUCCUGUGUCUGCUCGCACUGGGCCGGGCCUAGGUCGCGCAUCAACUCCAGUGACACUCAAACAUGUUAACUCAUCUCUGGCCUCCACAUCCACCCUUCUGGAACCUUCUCUGGUUGUGCCAGUUUCUCCAAAGACGCUUUCUAGGGCUUCAUCUCAAAGCAAAUAGAGAGAGCCUGGCACCACCAGCAACCGUUCAACAGGUAAAGAUGGUUGGUGGUGUGAUACGAGUAACACAUAUACUGUAACGGAGGUUGCGGCGCCAUUGUGCCUGUGGGAUGUUGUGGCCUCUGGGCUGUGGUGAAUACACGCAGGAUCUGUGAUGUGUGUAUGAUCCGUGUUGUAACUUGUGAGAUUUUUCUUUCACAUCACCAUGCUUGCGAAACUACGCAUUGCCGGGUUGCAUUUGUCUCUUCAGUUGAGGACUUGAUGCCGAGGCUAAAUUCAAGGUGCAUUGCGUGUCUGCCUGAGACGUUUUACAUGUUAUUGGUACAUAUGCAAGCCUUCAUUUGUUAAUAAUGCAGUUAUGUAAUGUUCAUCAAGCAAGCAAUGAAAUCUCCGAGUGCCUGAAAAUCCUGUUGGCACAUGACGCUCGACCAGGUGAAGUAGAAUCAAGACGAACUCUGCAUGUAAUGCACCAUCGAAAUCAGCAAGUAUCAAGCAGGUACCACUGUUCAGAAGGACGAGUAGAA